GAUGAACGCUGGCGGCGUGCCUAAUACAUGCAAGUCGAGCGAACAGACGAGGAGCUUGCUCCCCUGACGUUAGCGGCGGACGGGUGCGUAACACGUGGAUAACCUACCUAUAAGACUGGGAUAACUUCGGGAAACCGGAGCUAAUACCGGAUAAUAUAUUGAACCGCAUGGUUCAAUAGUGUAAGACGGUUUUGCUGUCACUUAUAGAUGGAUCCGCGCCGCAUUAGCUAGUUGGGAAGGUAACGGCUUACCAAGGCAACGAUUCGUAGCCGACCCGAGGGGGAGGUCGGCCACGCAGGAAGUGAGACACGGUCCGGCGGACGACGGGAGGCAGCAGUAGCGAAUCUUCCGCGAUAGGCGGAAGCCUGACGGAGCAACGCCGCGUGAGUGAUGAAGGUCUUGGGAUCGUAAAACUGUGUUAUUAGGGAAGAACAAAUGUGUAAGUAACUAUGCACGUCUUGACGGUACCUAAUCAGGAAGCCACGGCUAACUACGUG
rnacentral:rRNA from 1 species